CCUACGGGAGGCAGCAGUGGGGAAUAUUGGGCAAUGGGCGCAAGCCUGACCCAGCAACGCCGCGUGAAGGAAGAAGGCUUUCGGGUUGUAAACUUCUUUUAAGAGGGAAGAGCAGAAGACGGUACAUCUUGAAUAAGCCACGGCUAACUACGUGCCAGCAGCCGCGGUAAUGCGUAGGUUGCAAGCGAUGUACAGAUUUACUGGGUGUAAAAGGCGUGCAGCCGGUAAGACAAGUGAGAUGUGAAAGCCCGCGGAUCAACCGUGGAAGUGCAUUUGAAACUGGUUUCCUUGAGUACGGGAGAGGUCAUCGGAAGUCUUGGUGUAGCGGUGAAAUGCGUAGAUAUAAGGAAGAACACCAGUGGCGAAGGCGUAUGACUGGACGGCAACUGACGGUGAGGCGCGAAAGCGUGGGGAGCAAACAGGAUUAGAUACCCUUGUAGUC
rnacentral:rRNA from 1 species